rnacentral:rRNA from 1 species
UGGGGAAUAUUGCACAAUGGGGGAAACCCUGAUGCAGCGACGCCGCGUGAGCGAAGAAGGCUUUCGAGUCGUAAAGCUCUGUCCUAUGAGAAAAAAAUGACGGUACCUACAGAAGAAGCAACGGCUAAAUACGUGCCAGCAGCCGCGGUAAUACGUAUGUUGCGAGCGUUAUCCGGAAUUAUUGGGCUUAAAGGGCAUCUAGGCGGUAAGACAAGUUGAAGGUGAAAACCUGUGGCUCAACCAUAGGCUUGCCUACAAAACUGUUGAACUAGAGUACUGGAAAGGUGGGUGGAACUACACGAGUAGAGGUGAAAUUCGUAGAUAUGUGUAGGAAUGCCGAUGAUGAAGAUAACUCACUGGACAGAAACUGACGCUGAAGUGCGAAAGCUAGGGGAGCAAACAGG